rnacentral:misc_RNA from 1 species
AAUUCUCAACCAUGCCUUGAUUUAUUUCAAGGUCAUGGCUUGGACUUGGGAUCUUGCUGGCAGCGAAAAGCAGCUCAGCUGUCCUGAAAUGCAUUAGCAAAGGCAAGAGGCAGGUCUUUCUAGGACGUGCACGGCCUUCGACGUGAUAAUGAUCGUCGUGGCUGGAGCGUCGGACGUGCAUCCAAAUUGUCUUGCUUCCAAUCCUUGAUGUCGACCACUUUCGUUGUGGGAUCGAUGUCAUUUUUGACC